UUGGUGCAGAAUGCCCUCAGAAGUAGAAUUACUAACCAUGCGACAGUUGGCUGCGGAGACACAGCUCCAGAAAUCAACAGGGUCUGGAAGGGAGUGGAAAGAUGCACCUGGUAUCACCAAAGAAAGGAUAGGAAAUCUGUUCAAUCUAAGUCCAAAAGAAGAAAAAAGAAGUAAAGAGGAAAGUCAGGAUCAUCUUCAUAGGAGGAAGGUGAACUCUCAAUCUCAGUGUGAAUCGCAGAAUGAAGCAAAGCAAGAGAAUCUUCUCCCAGCUGAAUCAUAUGUGAAGAUGUUAUGAAAGGUGAUUAGAUACUUGGUUGUUCCAUCAGAUGAGCCCAUUAGAAAAGAUUCUGAGGAGGAGGAAGGAGAGAGGGUUGGUACAGAAAUUACCAAAAAGUAUUUUCCAACUGCUUCAAAAUCUGAACCACACAUUCUCUUCACAAAAUAAUUAAGGUCAAAAGGAGAACACCAGCAAAGUCUAUGACAGUGGUUCCCAAACUUUUCCCCCCCAAGGACCUGUUUGGCACCUUAUUAAGUGUCCCGGACCCCUUUUAUUUCCAGUACUACUGGAAUGCCCUCCCUAGCUUGGGAAUGCUCCUUCCAGUGUGACCCAUGCACUGUGUGCAUUCUGGCUCUGGCUCAAGGGAUGGGCCCCCACAUAACCCACGACAGACCCGUCCAGGAAUCCCAUUUUGUGAACCACUGGUCCAUGAGGCAUGUCAAAAAAUUCUACAAUGUGUACCAUAGCAGAGCAGAUUUUGUCUCUUCCCAAAGUGGAUGUAGCUGUUUCAGUAUUAGUCAAAGACACUGCUAACCUAGUUGAAGGGUAGUUUUUCCCAAAAGAACCCACAGAAUAGAAAUAUCAUUGCACUCUGUUUGAGGCUGCAUCUUCCUCUCUGAGGGCUUCUGCUGUGACAUGUUUUGCAAGAGUAAUAUAGGCCUGGGCUGACAGUUUGGCAAUCAGAUUUGCCCUCUCCCCCCCCAAAAAAAGGCUUAGAAAUCAUUACAGGUAGUUUUGGAGUUAAAGGAAAUCUCAAUGGCUUCACCAUUCAUAGCUGCUACAACAAGGGAUGUUUUAAUGUUUUCAGCACAUGCCAUGGUCUCCAAAGUGAUGACCAGAUGGCACCUCUGGUUAUGAGCCUGGAAAGGCAAUAUACAGGCCAAACUCAUGUUAUCAGUUUUGAAAUAUCCAGGAGGUUGGCUAUCAAUGGAGCCAUUACACAAGUGGUGGUGGAAUACUCAGAUAAAUCAAAAAAGCCCUUAGAGAACCCCUCUAAAUCCAGGAAAAAGGGAUAGCCUACCUUAUUACGGGUCUAAAUAUCCUUUUCAUGGCUACUCCUCUAUGUACAGAAGGUGAGAUUACAGCAAAAGCAAAUGGAACAAGUCUAAACCCAGAAAGGGCAGAGACCAAUCUUCCAGCAAUGCAAAUUCCAAUAUUAGAAACAAUGCCUGACUACAGUCAGGAAAGUUCUGACAAGCAACGCCUAGAGGGGAAACUAUUACAAUUCAAGGACCAAUGAUCUCUCUCUACAUUGGAGAGAUGGGUCUUGGAUGUGUGGUUCAACAAGGAUACAUCACAAAAUUGUCAAUGAUUCCAAAUUGCUGUUUUCUCCCUUCUCCAGUAUACUCAAAUCUGCAAAAGAGACCAAAAAAAAA